ACGCGUCUUAUCCUUUCCUUUCUAGCACCAUCUCCAUCUCUCCAUCUAUCCUUCCUCUCAUAUCUCAUCAAUCGCCCAUCACAGAGCCUCAUAUGCGCUGCCGGACUAGUCGCCGUUGUAAGGGAGCAAGUAGGUGGCGGAGCAUCCAGGUUGCAAAUCUGUGCAGGGCGAGGCUCUGACGCGGAACCGCGGGCUCGCUCACCUCAACUCACUUUUCAGGCGAGGCACGACUCGUCGGCGUGCUUCUGCAGCAGCAGGAGCGGCGGCGCUGCUGCUCUGUUGCGGUCGGCGGCGACGUGCUUUGACGCAUGCAACAUGGUAGUUAUUUCUGCAAUGCAGCCGUUGUUUCAGGAAUUGUUGUUGCAACCCGGCCGUUGUUUCAGGAAUUGUUCCUCCAAUCUCCAAAUUUUUGCGACAUGGUAGUUGUUUCUGCAACAACCCAGCCGUUGUUUCAGGAAUUGUUCUUGCAAUCUCCAAAUUUUUACAACAUAGUAGUUAUUUCUGCAACACAGUCAUUGUUUCGGGAAUUGUUUUCUGCAACGCGAUCAUUGUUUCAGGAAUUGUUUCUGCAACACAACUGUUGUUUCUGCAACUGGUUUGUUGUUUCGGGAAUUAAUGUGUCGGGGAAGGCGACGCGCGUGCGCGAGGAGUUAGAUCGGACGACUCGCGCACGAAGAUCUGACGGCUGUCAAGGUGGUGGAUGUUUACUAAACAUCCACCGGCAGACGCGUAGCAGCUCCCUCAAAGAACUAGACAGAAUUCCCUUAAAAAAAAUAGGAUAUCUUCCUCUCUUCGACGUGGAACUCACGUGAAUGUUUUAUGCUUCCAAGUGCACUUAUAUUAUUCUACACUAGUUAACAACUUGCUCAUGACCCUCGCAAAAAAAAAAAAUUGCUCAUGAGACAAGAUCAUAUUCAAUUCAAUUGUAUUCAGAGGGGGGGCCUCGGGAACCUUCCUGGCAGGAGAGGUGUGCACACAGUUCUUGGUUUCUCCACUUUUUUUCUUUUGCAAGGGCUGGUUCCUUCACCUAUUGCACACGUGGAACAGAAAUGUUCUCGCCGGAAUCACAGGGUAGACGACCGGCGGCGGACGCUGGACGACUGGGCCUCUUUGAAUUACAGGGUUUACAUAGCAACUUCUGUGUUUCCCCCUUUUAUAUUACUCCCUCUGAUCAUAUUAAUUGCCUCUGAUUUAGUACAAAGUGGAUCAGAGGGAGUAUUAUUGUUUGCUUGAUUGGCAGAACUUUUUUUCAAAACCAUGCUAAAGAACUGUGUGAUUAAUAUAGAAGGUACUCCCUCCGUUUCAAAAUAGAUGACUCAAUUUUAUAUUAAAAUUAGUACAAAGCUGGAUCAUCUAUUUUGGAACGAAGGGAGUAAGAGAUAGCAACGACCUACCAAGAAAGAAAUUAAUGCUUGCCUCACCAGCCUCCUUCUCUAAGAAAAUACUAGGGUUCCUCAGCCUUCCGCCGGCGCCGGCGCUGGUCCGCCUCGUCUCUAAUGGUCUUAGAAUCAUGGCGGCCCGGUGGAUCCCGGCCCUUGCUAGCAGAAGGGCUUUGUUUUCAUAUGCUUUUUUGAAUUUUGUUAGGGUUUGUGUUCUACUUAGGAAGAUGAGACGACAACGUUUCCCUAAAGAUGAAAUAAGAUUCUCCCGGCUCCGCCCCCAUCCCGGUGGUCUAAGCAUCAUAGCCGGGCGUGUGGAGAUGUGUCUUCGGCGGAUCUAUCUUUGGUGGAUUGUUCGGUUUUGAUCGUACAUCAUCUACGUUCGUGUUUUUUCAGGUUGGAUCUUUUCGAUCUACGCUACUCUUCAUAGGCGGCGGGUGCUAUUUUGCUGCGCUUGUCCUAUGGGGCCUUAACACGACAACUUCCUGACUGUCUACUACACAAGUUUUGUCCGGCUCCGGCGAAUGAGAGGCAAUGACGGUGGCGCGCCUUCGGCUCGCUUCAGUGCUUGUAGUCGUCGCUAGAUGGUCUACGGAACUGGAUAUACUUUUAAUUUUUUAGAAUGUUCGCUGUACCGCCAUGAUCGAAAAUGAAUAGAUAGAAACUUUUCUUGAAAAAAAGUCUCGGCAAGAAAAACAAAAGGAACAAAAGAAG
rnacentral:lncRNA from 1 species